rnacentral:rRNA from 1 species
AUUGAACGCUGGCGGCAGGCCUAACACAUGCAAGUCGAGCGGAAGAAGGGAGCUUGCUCCUGGAUUCAGCGGCGGACGGGUGAGUAAUGCAUAGGAAUCUGCCUGGCAGUGGGGGAUAACGUCCGGAAACGGGCGCUAAUACCGCAUACGUCCUGAGGGAGAAAGUGGGGGAUCUUCGGACCUCACGCUAUCAGAUGAGCCUAGGUCGGAUUAGCUAGUUGGUGGGGUAAAGGCCUACCAAGGCGACGAUCCGUAACUGGUCUGAGAGGAUGAUCAGUCACACUGGAACUGAGACACGGUCCAGACUCCUACGGGAGGCAGCAGUGGGGAAUAUUGGACAAUGGGCGGAAGCCUGAUCCAGCCAUGCCGCGUGUGUGAAGAAGGUCUUCGGAUUGUAAAGCACUUUAAGUUGGGAGGAAGGGCAGUAAGUUAAUACCUUGCUGUUUUGACGUUACCAACAGAAUAAGCACCGGCUAACUUCGUG